rnacentral:rRNA from 1 species
AUACGGAGGGGGCAAGCGUUGUUCGGAAUUACUGGGCGUAAAGGGCGUGUAGGCGGCCGAUCAAGUCGGGUGUGAAAGCCCUCGGCUCAACCGAGGAAUUGCACUCGAUACUGGUUGGCUAGAGUCCGGGAGGGGGUAGCGGAAUUCCCAGUGUAGCGGUGAAAUGCGUAGAUAUUGGGAAGAACACCAGUGGCGAAGGCGGCUACCUGGACCGGUACUGACGCUGAGGCGCGAAAGCGUGGGGAGCAAACAGGAUUAGAAACCCCAGUAGUCC